rnacentral:lncRNA from 1 species
GAUGUCAUCUGCAUCGAAGAAGAAGAAAGAAAAUGAAGGGUUCUAGUCUCCAACGGCUAGUUUUGUUUUUUAAAUGUUAGUGUAAGUGUGUGAGUGACAAGUGUACACUCCAGAUUAAAUCAUUUAACCCCAAAUGAAGGGUUAGGAUGUAAUCUGGAGUAGUAAGGCUUAAUGGUUGUUAAAGCCUCUUGUCAAUCACCUUUUUAGAGAGUAUGGGUGAUGGAAAUGCACCAUACUCUUGUGUAAUGUUCACUCUUCUUAUUCAAUCAAGUCUGCUGCAUUAACUCAGCAGAAACCAAUCCCCAAGUUCCUUCUUUCAAUUUCUCUACUAUCCUACCCAAGAAACCGAUUCACACUCAAUCAAGAAACACAAAAUAAACAAACUUUAUCAUGGCCUCAGAGCUUUGUUAUUGAUCUUACAACUUUCGGGGCGUAAUCUGUGCAAGAUAAGAUCUUUGGGAGCACCAACGUAGUGUCUUCUAUAACAAUAAUCAACAAACAAUUCUGGAAAUGAAAGGAUCCAGCAGUAGCAGUGAGCUAAAAGCUCCAGUCUUUGAUGGGGAGAAUUAUGAUUUUUGGAGAAUAAGAAUGACAACCAUUUUCAAAUCCUAUGAUCUAUGGGAUAUGGUUCAACAUGGGUAUGAACUACCUGAGAUGGAGAUCGAUGCUCUAGAGGAGGAUCUCACAGAAACACAACUCAAAACACUGAAGCAGAAUCGGAUGGAGGAUGCUAGAGCACUUGGAAUCAUUCAAGGUGCUGUCUCUGACACCAUUUUUCCGAGGAUAGCAAAUGAAGAGACUGCAAAGGGAGCUUGGGAAGUUUUACAGCAAGAAUACAGAGGAGACACCAAAGUUAGAAAGGUAAAACUUCAGUCCCUUAGAAGAGAUUUUGAGUAUACAAGAAUGAGGGAAAAUGAGUUGUUAAAAGACUACUUCACUAGGCUGUUUGAUGUUGUAAACAAGAUGAAAACAUAUGGUGAGGAACUGCCUAAUGAAAGAAUUGUCCAAAAACUGUUGAUUAGUUUGACUAAACCCUAUGAUUCAAUAGUGAGUGUUAUAGAAGAAACCAAAGACACUGAAACUCUCAGUGUACAAGAGGUGAUGGCAUCCUUAAGAGCUUUUGAUCAAAGGCUCGAGAGGCAUGCUGACACUGCACCUGAGAAAGCCUUUCAAACACUCAAUGUUGGAUCUAGUAGUCAAGCCAGUGCAAGCAAUCAGAAACCACAGUGGAAGGGCAAAAGCAAGAAAUGGGAAGGAAAAGGGUAUCACAACUCAAGACCUAACCAAGGCAGCAACACCAAUGUAGGUCCAAGAACCAAGCAACAAUGUAAGCACUGUGAUAAAUUCCACCUUGGAGAGUGUUGGUUCAAGGACAAGCCUAGAUGCCACAAAUGCAACAGGUUUGGGCACAUUAUGAAGGACUGCAGAUCAAAGAAUGUGCAACAAGUAAACUGUGCAAAUCAAGUGGAAGAAGAAGCAAAUGUGUUCUGUGCUUUCAAUGCAAAAAUGGAGAGAAACAAUGAAGUGUGGUACAUUGACAGUGGCUGCAGCAACCACAUGACUGCACAUGAGUCUUUACUUAUUAACAUCGACACAAACUUCACUGGAAAAGUGAAAAUGGGUGAUGGAAACAUUGUCAAAGCCACUGGAAGAGGAACUCUGGUUAUCAACACCAAGAAAGGAAGAAGAUGUAUAAGGGAGGUGAUGCUAGUGCCUGGAUUGGAUGAGAAUCUACUUAGUGUGGGUCAAAUGAUGGAGCAUGGCUAUUUCCUACUCUUUGGGGGAACUGUGGUUGAGAUCUAUGAUGACAGAUCCCUAUCAAACUUGGUGACCAAAGUGGAAGUGAAAAACAGAAGCUUUCCACUUGUACUGAAGUACUUAGAAGAAGUGGGCAAAGAAAGCAAGUGUGACAAGUUCUAUGAAACUAUGGCACAAGAGACUUGGUCAUUUUAAACAUGACAAGCUUACAAAAUCUGCAAAAGGAUGAAAUGGUGCAAGGUAUACCAAAAAUGGAUCAAUGCAAUGAAAUCUGUGAAGGGUGUGUGUUUGGCAAGCAUCACAGAGAUUCAUUUGAAGCUGGAAAGGCUUGGAGGGCAAUAAAGCCACUCGAAUUGAUUCACUCAGAUGUGUGUGGACCAAUGAGAACAACAACAAUCAGUGGAAACAGGUAUUUCCUAACCUUCAUUGAUGAUUAUUCACGGAUGUGUUGGGUGUAUUUCAUGAGGUUCAAGUCUGAGGUAUUCACAAUAUUCAAGAAGUUUAAGGCAAUGGUGGAAUUGCAAAGUGGAUACCAAAUCAAAAGACUAAGAAGUGAUAGGGGUGGUGAGUACACCUCACAUGAGUUCAAUGUAUUCUGUGAAGAUGUAGGGUUAGAGAAACAACUCACUGUGGCAUAUUCACCACAACAGAAUGGGAUUGCAGAAAGGAAGAUAGGACUAUAGUCGAAAUGGCUAAGUCUAUGAUGCAUGAGAAGAACAUGCCUUAUAAAUUUUGGGGUGAAGCUGUGAACACCUCAGUGUAUCUAUUGAAUAGGUGUCCUACUAAGGCAUUGGAGAAGAAGACUCCAUUUGAAGUGUUCAGUGGAAGGAAGCCUUCUGUGAAGCAUCUGAGAGUGUUUGGCUCAGUAUGCUACAAUCUCAUCCCUCAUCAACUAAGGCACAAGUUGGAGAAAUCAAGUAACAAGGGUGUUUUUGUAGGCUAUGGUACCAGUGAGAAAGGAUACAGAGUUUAUAAUGUGUUGACUCAAAAGAUAAUCCUAUCAAGGGAUGUUAUCUUUGAUGAAGACUCAAUGUGGAACUGGGAUACAAUGGUAGAGGAAAAGGACAGUGUCUCUCUACAAAUUGACCUAAACAAAAGGCAAACAAGGGAGCCUAUAGAGAUCUCAGUUCAAGAAGAAGUCACAGAUAAUGGUGACAUACAAGGGACCCCACAGCAAGCUACUAUGAGUCCACAAUCAAGUCAAUCACAGACAACAACUCCUAGUUCAACUCCAGUAAGAUUGAGAAAUCUGGAUGAGAUUUAUGCUACAUGUAAUUACUGUGUAGUAGAACCAGAAACGUAUGAAGAAGCUGAGAAAGACAAAGCUUGGAAGAAAGCAAUGAAGGAAGAGCUUGAAAUGAUAGAAAAGAAUGACACUUGGGAACUUGUAAAUCGACCAAGUGAGAAGCCUGUGAUUGGUGUAAAAUGGGUGUACAAAGUGAAGCUAAAUCUAGAUGGUUCUGUGCAAAAGAACAAGGCCAGGUUAGUGGCCAAAGGUUACUCACAGAAACCUAGUGUAGACUUCAAUGAAACCUUUGCUCCAGUAGCAAGGUUAGACACCAUAAGGACCUUGAUAGCACUAGCAGCCAAGAAGGGUUGGAAGCUGCAUCAAUUGGAUGUUAAAUCUGCAUUUCUAAAUGGAGUGCUAGAGGAUGAAGUGUUUGUGGAACAACCUCAAGGGUUCACAAAUCAAGAGUUUCCAGAAAAAAGUGUACAAGUUAAGGAAGGCUCUUUAUGGCCUAAAACAAGCUCCAAGAGCUUGGUACAGUGAGAUUGAUUCAUAUUUCACUGAGAACGGAUUUCAGAAAAGUCCUAGUGAAGCUACACUCUACACCAAGACAGAAAGCAACAACAAGACACUCAUUGUCUCAAUCUAUGUGGAUGAUGUUGUCUACACUGGAAAUGAUGCUGCAAUGAUGGAAGAGUUCAAGGAAGAAAUGAUGAAGAGGUACGAGAUGACUGACCUAGGCCUCUUGCAUCAUUUUCUUGGCAUUGGGGUAAUUCAAAAAGCAAGUAGCAUCUUUAUUCAUCAAAAGAAGUAUGCUGAAACUUUGCUUGAAAAGUUUGGUUUGAAGGGUUGCAAACCAGUUUCUACACCCUUAAUUGCAAAUGAGAAGCUCAAGAAGGAGGAUGGAAGUGAACCUGCAGAUGCUAGUCUCUAUAAAAGCAUUGUUGGCAGUCUAUUGUAUCUAACUGCAACAAGGCCGGAUCUGAUGUUCUCAGCAAGUCUACUUUCUAGGUUUAUGCAGAAUCCUAGCAAGAUACAUAUGGGCACAGCUAAGAGAGUGCUAAGAUAUGUACAAGGAACUCUUGAUUAUGGGAUCAAAUAUGAGAUGGGAAAGUCAUCUAUUCUAAUUGGAUUCUGUGACAGUGACUGGGGUGGCAGUGAGGAUGAUAGUAGAAGCACAUCGGGCUAUGCUUUCACUUUCGGAUCAGGGGUAUUUUCAUGGGCCUCUGUGAAGCAACAAAGUGUUGCACUGUCCACAGCCGAGGCAGAGUAUGUGAGUGCAUCAGAAGCUACAUCUCAAGCUAUUUGGCUAAGGUUCAUACUUAAAGAUUUUGGCGAAUUGCAAGUUGAAGCCACACCACUUCUGUGUGACAACACCUCUGCAAUUGCCAUGACUAAAAACCCAGUAUUUCAUCAGAGAACAAAACACAUCAAGAGAAGAUAUCAUUUCAUCAGAGAAGCAUUGCAGGACAACACAAUCAAGCUAAUCUAUUGCAGCACAGAAGAUCAGAUCGCAGACAUAUUCACAAAAGCACUACCGAAGGAGAGAUUCAAUUACCUGAGGGGUUUGCUCGGAUUGACUCCCAGAAGCAGUUUAGAAGGGAGUGUUGGAAGCUAACCAGCUCCUGGAGUCGGGGAGUCGAAGGCAGCAAGAUACUCCCGAGCAAAAGGAUGUCAUCUGCAUCGAAGAAGAAGAAAGAAAAUGAAGGGUUCUAGUCUCCAACGGCUAGUUUUGUUUUUUAAAUGUUAGUGUAAGUGUGUGAGUGACAAGUGUACACUCCAGAUUAAAUCAUUUAACCCCAAAUGAAGGGUUAGGAUGUAAUCUGGAGUAGUAAGGCUUAAUGGUUGUUAAAGCCUCUUGUCAAUCACCUUUUUAGAGAGUAUGGGUGAUGGAAAUGCACCAUACUCUUGUGUAAUGUUCACUCUUCUUAUUCAAUCAAGUCUGCUGCAUUAACUCAGCAGAAACCAAUCCCCAAGUUCCUUCUUUCAAUUUCUCUACUAUCCUACCCAAGAAACCGAUUCAAACACUCAAUCAAGAAACACAAAAUAAACAAACUUUAUCAUAAACCAGAUAUAUUACUUAUGGAUUACUUUUUGGAUAAAAAUCCACAGGUCUUGAUCAGUUUUAACGAAAUAUAAGAUGACUCCUACAAUACAUACUAUGAAAUGAGAUAAACUUACUCAUUUGAAUUCGUAUAUUACUAGCUAAAUGAGUAUCAGGUCAAAGGUGUUUGACACUAACUCGAACCUGUUAUUAUUCGUGUUUGCAUCUCUUCUCAAAUUCAUGUUCGUUUUAAGGAAUGAUCAAUCCUGAACUUGCUCACUUCGUGUGAGUUAGAUUUAUAUAAAAAAUUUCACCCUAGAUUCAUCCCUAAACCGGACAGCACCAUCUAGCUUUCUUUUGUGUAUAAUGCUUUUCCUUUUGUAUACGGAUGCCUUCAUUUUGUAUUUUUUUUUUUUUUUUGCAAAUCUUGAGAGCGAUGUUCAUGUCCCAGUUCCUAUUGAUCCAUUUUAUCAUCUCUUGGUUCUCUCUCACAUACUAGGAAGAUACAAACUGAUUCUUUUUACUUCAAUUUUUUGUUUUAAGGAAGAAUUAGACAAACAGAGAUUAUAUUAUGGUUCAAUAUUGACGAGUUGUAAUUUUAAAUUGGUCUGUCCAUUUUUGUUUGGUUUGUCAUGAAUUAUGUGAAGAGACAAUUCUUAGCUGAAUUAGUUUUUGACAUUGUGCAGUUUUGGCAUACUCUUAGGCUUCAUUUCUUAUUUGACAAUUUAGUAAUGUAGUCUAUGAAUUAGGUUCACUUUUUAUUCAUGUGUACAUGUUUAUUGUGCAGAACCUGAGAAUCGAAGGGGUUCUUUAUGAUGUUUAGAUUUCUCGUACUAUUAGUUAGUGGCUACUAGUUUGCUGUUCAACUUCAAUAUUGUUGGACUCCAGAAAAUCAAGCAAAACAAUUUAACUCAUAUUAUUGGACUUAUAAAUGGGUACCAUAUAUGUUUGCGGCUUGAUUUGAUCAUUGCUGAAAUAUUACCUUGAGUGCUUCCAUUUGGGAUUAAGAGAAUGAAUAUCAUGCGU